ensembl:lncRNA
CUCCAACGUGUUUCCCGCACACGCUCAGUCGGACGGACACGACUUCGCCAUGUGCUCAUUCGAGGAGACCACGACAUGCAGGGCCUGUACCAUGCUAUUGAGGUGGGUAUAGGGGAUAUAGGGUUAUAUAGGGUUAUUAUGGGGUCAUAUAGGGGAUAUAGGGUCAUAUAGGGUUAUUAUGGGGUUAUGGGUUACUGCAGGGCCUGUACCAUGCUAUUGAGGUGGGAUAUAGGGGAUAUAGGGGAUAUGGGGUUAUAUAGGGUCAUAUAGGGGAUAUAGGGUAUGGGGAGACCACAACCUGCAGGGCCUGUACCACGUUAAUGAGGUGGGACAUAUAGGGUUAUAUGGGGUUAUAUAGGGUUAUUAUGGGGUCAUAUAGGGUUAUAUAGGGGAUAUAGGGUCAUAUAGGGUUAUUAUGGGGUUAUUAUGGGGUCAUAUAGGGUUAUAUGGGGUUAUAUGGGGUUAUAUGGGGUUAUAUGGGGUUAUAUGGGGUUAUUAUGGGGUUAUAUGGGGUUAUAUGGGGUUAUAGGGUUAUAUGGGGUUAUAUGGGGUUAUAUGGGGUUAUAUAGGGUUAUUAUGGGGUUAUAUAGGGUUAUUAUGGGGUUAUUAUGGGGUUAUGGGGUUAUUAUGGGGUUAUAUGGGGUUAUGGGGUUAUAUAGGGUUAUAUGGGGUUAUAUGGGGUUAUAUAGGGUUAUAGGGUUAUAUGGGGUUAUAUGGGGUUAUAUGGGGUUAUAUGGGGUUAUAUGGGGUUAUAUGGGGGAUAUAUGGGGUUAUAUGGGNAUGGGGGAUAUAUGGGGUUAUAUGGGGUUAUAUGGGGUUAUAUGGGGUUAUAUGGGGUUAUAUGGGGUUAUAUGGGGUUAUAUAGGGGAUAUAUGGGGUUAUAUGGGGUUAUAUAGGGGAUAUAUGGGGUUAUAUGGGGUUAUAUGGGGGAUAUAUGGGGUUAUAUGGGGUUAUAUGGGGUUAUAUGGGGUUAUAUGGGGUUAUUAUGGGGUUAUUAUGGGGUUAUAUAGGGUUAUAUGGGGUUAUUAUGGGGUUAUUAUGGGGUUAUUAUGGGGUUAUGGGGAAACAACGACCUGCAGGGCCUGUGCCAUGCUAAUGAGGUGGGACAUAUGGGGUUAUAUAGGGUUAUAUAGGGGAUAUAGGGGAUAUAGGGUUAUAGGGUUAUAUAGGGGAUAUAGGGUUAUAUAGGGUUAUAGGGGAUAUAGGGUUAUUGUGGGGUUAUUAUGGGGUUAUUAUGGAGUUAUGGGUUACUGCAGGGCCUGUACCAUGUUAAUGAGGUGGGAUAUAUAGGGUUAUAUGGGGGAUAUAGGGGAUAUAGGGUUAUUAUGGGGUUAUAGGGUUAUGGGUUAUGGGGUUAUUAUGGGGUUAUAGGGUUAUAUAGGGUUAUAGGGUCAUAUAGGGGAUAUAGGGUUAUUAUGGGGUUAUGGGGUUAUGGGGUUAUUAUUGGGUUAUUAUGGGGUUAUUAUGGGGUUACGGGGUUAUUAUGGGGUUAUAGGGUUAUUAUGGGGUUAUUAUGGGGUUAUGGGGUAACAACGACCUGCAGGGCCUGUACAAUGCUAAUGAGGUGGGGAUAUAUAGGGUUAUAUGGGGGAUAUAGGGUUAUAGGGUUAUAGGGGAUAUAGGGUUAUAGGGUUAUAGGGGAUAUAGGGUUAUAGGGUUAUAGGGGAUAUAGGGUUAUAGGGUUAUUAUGGGGUUAUGGGGUUAUAGGGGAUAUGGGGUAUGGGGAAACAACGACCUGCAGGGCCUGUACCAUGCUAAUGAGGUGGGAUAUAGGGUUAUAUAGGGGAUAUAGGGUUAUAUAGGGUUAUAUAGGGUUAUAGGGUCAUAUAGGGGAUAUGGGGUUAU